CCUACGGGAGGCAGCAGUGGGGAAUUUUGGACAAUGGGCGCAAGCCUGAUCCAGCAAUGCCGCGUGAGUGAAGAAGGCCUUCGGGUUGUAAAGCUCUUUUGUCAGGGAAGAAACGGCUGAGGUUAAUACCUUCGGCUAAUGACGGUACCUGAAGAAUAAGCACCGGCUAACUACGUGCCAGCAGCCGCGGUAAUACGUAGGGUGCAAGCGUUAAUCGGAAUUACUGGGCGUAAAGCGUGCGCAGGCGGUUUUGUAAGUCUGUCGUGAAAGCCCCGGGCUCAACCUGGGAAUUGCGAUGGAGACUGCAAGGCUUGAAUCUGGCAGAGGGGGGUAGAAUUCCACGUGUAGCAGUGAAAUGCGUAGAGAUGUGGAGGAACACCGAUGGCGAAGGCAGCCCCCUGGGUCAAGAUUGACGCUCAUGCACGAAAGCGUGGGGAGCAAACAGGAUUAGAUACCCUGGUAGUCCACGCCCUAAACGAUGUCUACUAGUUGUCGGGUUUUAAUUAACUUGGUAACGCAGCUAACGCGUGAAGUAGACCGCCUGGGGAGUACGGUCGCAAGAUUAAAACUCAAAAUGAAUUGACGG
rnacentral:rRNA from 1 species